rnacentral:rRNA from 1 species
UACGUAGGGGGCUAGCGUUGUCCGGAUUUAUUGGGCGUAAAGAGCGUGUAGGCGGCCAGGUAGGUCCGGUGUGAAAACUCGAGGCUUAACCUCGAGAUGUCAUCGGAAACCAUCUGGCUAGAGUCCGGAAGAGGAGAGUGGAAUUCCUGGUGUAGCGGUGAAAUGCGCAGAUAUCAGGAAGAACACCCGUGGCUAAGGCGGCUCUCUAGUACGGUACUGACGCUGAGACGCGAAAGCGUGGGGAGCGAACAGG